UGUCUUAAGCCGCUACAUCCUAUGAGAGCAUUCAGUUAAAUUAACGGGAAAGAACAACACAACGCGAAACGGACACAUUGGAAGCUACCUAGUUCCCAGGCAAGUGCGAGAACGAAAUGCAAGUUAAUUAAAGUAGCAUCUGGGGGAAGUGAUGUCAUUGCUUGCUCUUGUGUUCGAAUAAUGAAGAGGGUGAAACAGAAUCAGCAAGUCAAUCAGGACAUCAAGGUUGUUGGAUCUCAGACUGACCACUGGCUCUCCCCAGGAACGCACAGGAACAACACAGACAGGCACAGUGGGUUCAGGACCAUGAACUGCAACACAGCAACAUCACAGGAAUGAGAACAAAUACAUCUGAACACAGAGCACUUUAACACUUACAGAUACAACCUGACGGACGACAACUGUGUAGAGACGUCGUGGUGAGCGUUAUGCUGACUGUUGCAUUGUUCAAGCCAACCAGUGGGGCGGUGGAAGUGUGAUGUGGGGAGGAAUCUCCUUUAACACAAGAAUGCCUUUGGUGCAGAUUGAGGGCAACUUUACUGCUCAGCAAUACAUUGACAAAGUCCUUGAGGCAACAGUUUUUCCGUUCCUGCAAGCCAAUCUGGAAGUGUCGAUUAUCCAGCAGGACAAUGCAAGACACACAGUGCUAGGAUUACAACUGCACAGCAGUCUAUCCAGAGGUUGAUCAGGUCUAUGCAUCAGCGCUGCCAGGAUUGCGUUAAUGCUCAGGGAGGUCAUACCCGAUACUAACUUUGUAAUGUUUUCAUUUUGACAGUGUGUCACGUUUCAUACUGAAAACAUGUUAUGAUUUGAUCUGUAUUUUUGCUCACAUUUUCUGUGAUUUUGUUUGAUAUCUAUGUUUAAAAUAUUUGAUUAAAUCCAUUAGACCUGAGUGUUGAUUUUCUUUAAUUGUCACAGUAAUGCAUGGAACAAACAUGAAUUUAAUUAACCUGUUAGUUCUGUUUUUCCUCAUAAAUGAAUUUAAAUCCCACAACUUGUCCUAUGUGGGUGUAAAUUAGUUAUGCUUGAGUUGCUUGAAUGACCUAAUUUCCUAGUUUAUGUCAGUAUACAAAUAAAAGUGUACUAAUUACAUUGUCUAUAGUGCUUGUUUAGUCAGCAUCUGUGACAGUCAAAUCCAAUUGCAAUG